rnacentral:rRNA from 1 species
ACGCUGGCGGCAUGCCUAACACAUGCAAGUCGAACGAGAAAGUUCCUUCGGGAGCGAUUAAAGUGGCGCACGGGUGAGUAACGCGUAGACAAUCUGCCCUUCAGUCUGGGACAACUUUUCGAAAGGAGAGCUAAUACCGGAUAACAAUGUUUAACCUAAGUUAAAUAUUUGAAAGCUUUAUGUGCUGAAGGAGGGGUCUGCGUCCCAUUAGCUAGUUGGUAAGGUAAAGGCUUACCAAGGCGACGAUGGGUAGCGGGUUUGAGAGGACGAUCCGCCACACUGGAACUGAGACACGGUCCAGACUCCUACGGGAGGCAGCAGUGGGGAAUAUUGCACAAUGGAGGCAACUCUGAUGCAGCAAUGUCGCGUGAGUGAAGAAGGCCUUUGGGUCGUAAAGCUCUUUUAUGGGGGAAGAUGAUGACGGUACCCCAAGAAUAAGCACCGGCUAACUAUGUGCCAGCAGCCGCGGUAAUACAUAGGGUGCGAGCGUUGUUCGGAAUUACUGGGCGUAAAGGGCGCGCAGGCGGAAUAGUAAGUCGGAGGUGAAAGCCCGGGGCUCAACCCCGGAGGGUCUUUCGAAACUGCUAAUCUAGAGAGGGUCAGGGGCCGGCAGAAUUCCUGGUGUAGAGGUGAAAUUCGUAGAUAUCAGGAGGAAUACCGGUGGCGAAGGCGGCCGGCUGGGGCCACUCUGACGCUGAGGCGCGAAAGCGUGGGGAGCAAACAGGAUUAGAUACCCUGGUAGUCCACGCCGUAAACGAUGAGCACUGGACGUCCGGAGGGUUCGACCCUUCUGGGUGUUUCAGCUAACGCAUUAAGUGCUCCGCCUGGGGAGUACGGUCGCAAGACUACUAAUUGAUACG